AUGCCAUGAUAAGGACACUUUCGUAAUAAAUCCUUGAACUGCUCGCAUGUCUCAUAUAGAGAUUCUUCAUGAAAUUGUUGAAAUAAAGUGAUUCCAUUUUGGAGCUU
rfam:Gossypium hirsutum cultivar TM-1 chromosome 6, whole genome shotgun sequence